rnacentral:rRNA from 1 species
UACGGAGGGUGCGAGCGUUGUCCGGAUUUAUUGGGUUUAAAGGGUGCGUAGGCGGAAAAAUAAGUUUGCGGUGAAAGGUUGAUGCCUAACAUCAAGAGUGCCGUGAAUACUGUUUUUCUGGAGUAUAGUCGAGGUAACUGGAACGGGGAGUGUAGCGGUGAAAUGCAUAGAUAUUUCUCAGAACGCCAAUUGCGGAGGCAGGUUACUAGAUUAUUACUGACGCUGAGGCACGAAAGCGUGGGGAUCAAAC